GCGGAGGAAAAGAAACCAACCGGGAUUGCCUCAGUAACGGCGAGUGAAGCGGCAAGAGCUCAAAUUUGAAAGCUGGCCCCUCCGGGGUCCGCGUUGUAAUUUGCAGAGGAUGCUUUGGGUGCGGCCCCCGUCUAAGUGCCCUGGAACGGGCCGUCAGAGAGGGUGAGAAUCCCGUCUUGGGCGGGGUGUCCGUGCCCGUGUAAAGCUCCUUCGACGAGUCGAGUUGUUUGGGAAUGCAGCUCUAAAUGGGUGGUAAAUUUCAUCUAAAGCUAAAUACUGGCCGGAGACCGAUAGCGCACAAGUAGAGUGAUCGAAAGAUGAAAAGCACUUUGAAAAGAGAGUUAAACAGCACGUGAAAUUGUUGAAAGGGAAGCGCUUGCGACCAGACUCGCCCUCGGGGUUCAGCCGGCACUCGUGCCGGUGUACUUCCCCGGGGGCGGGCCAGCGUCAGCUUGGGCGGCCGGUCAAAGGCCUCCGGAAUGUAGUGCCCCCCGGGGCACCUUAUAGCCGGAGGUGCAAUGCGGCCAGC
rnacentral:rRNA from 1 species